rnacentral:rRNA from 1 species
GACGAACGCUGGCGGCGUGCUUAACACAUGCAAGUCGAACGGAUAGGCCCUGCUUUUGUGGGGUGCUCGAGUGGCGAACGGGUGAGUAACACGUGAGUAACCUGCCCUUGACUUUGGGAUAACUUCAGGAAACUGGGGCUAAUACCGGAUAGGAGCUCCUGCUGCAUGGUGGGGGUUGGAAAGUUUCGGCGGUUGGGGAUGGACUCGCGACUUAUCAGCUUGUUGGUGGGGUAGUGGCUUACCAAGGCUUUGACGGGUAGCCGGCCUGAGAGGGUGACCGGCCACAUUGGGACUGAGAUACGGCCCAGACUCCUACGGGAGGCAGCAGUGGGGAAUAUUGCACAAUGGGCGGAAGCCUGAUGCAGCAACGCCGCGUGCGGGAUGACGGCCUUCGGGUUGUAAACCGCUUUCGCCUGUGACGAAGCGUGAGUGACGGUAAUGGGUAAAGAAGCACCGGCUAACUACGUG